rnacentral:ncRNA from 1 species
GGUGCCAUAAGUGGUUUUGGCUUGUUAACCCCUCGUGUCCGACACCGGCGAUGGUCUCGGGUUCGGGGUGUUACACCCCAAGCCAAUGUUCGAGUACCCGGCACUACAGUGCUAAAGGGUGCCUAUACCCAAAAUCGACACAGGUGGGUAGUUAGAGAAUACCUAGGGGUGCAAGAUAACUAUCUCUAAGGAACUCAGAAAAAUAGCUAUGUAACUUCGGGAGAAGAGGUGCUUCCUCACAAAAGGGGUCGUAGUGACCAGGCUUAGGCGACUGUUUACCAAAAACACAAGUCUCCACAAAGUUGUAAGACCAUGUAUGGGGGCUGACGCCUACCCAGUACCGGAAGUUCAAGGAAGUUGGUGACCUAAUGACAAGAGAGCCAGUAACUGAAGCCCCGGUGAACGGCUGUAACGCCCCGUACCCGAGACCGUCGCCGGAGUCGAACACGAGGUGUUAAUAGACUUAAUUCAUUACUUAAACAACCCAAACAAUUUAUUUUUAAAAUUUUCAGUCAAGCUAACAAUCUGCGUCAUAGUCGCUUAAAAAUUCAUAUCUCGAGUUACAAAACUCGAAAUCCAAUUCCUUAAAUUUUCCCUGAAACUACACUCAUAUAUCUAUUUACUAAUUUUUUUUAUAGAAUUUUUGUUCAAUCAAAUUAGUACAGUUUAUUAGUUAAAGUCUCCCCUGUUUCAGAGUUUGACUGCUCUGACCUCUAUGUAUUACGAAUAAAAUAUCUCCCUGUACAGAGUUUCAAUGACUAUAC